AUGGGUCUCUACAGUGAGUCUGUGUUUUGUCUGGGAGGGAAGGGCCUUGAUGCUGAUAGGGUGAGAACGGAGGUGUCUUGCCUCUCAAGCAGGAGAAAUGCAAGUAGAUUUAAAAAGCUCCAGGAGAGGACGGAGGAUCCUGCAGGUGAUAAAUACACGAGGAGCCAGGAAGCCUUCUAGGUCCCGGGUCACAGAAAUGAGGGGCAGCGCAAGGAAGAGGUGUCCAGGGGCCCUACUAAUGAUCCUGGUCAUUCGUCUUUACUGUGUAAGUUGCCAGGUUAAUGUGGCUCAGAGCCCGCUCUCCCUGAGCAGCUCUGAAGGACAGGACUCCAGCCUGACCUGCAGUUACUCCAGCACGGUGAGAAAUGUGCAGUGGUACCGCCAGGCCCCAGGGGAAAGCCCCACCCUCCUGGGGAUUUUGUACAAGGACGAGCGUGCCACAUGGGGGCUGAAUCUCAGAGCUGAGCUCCAGACCACAGAGAAGCACAGCUACCUGAACAUCACCAAGGCACAGCUGCAAGACGCAGCCACCUACCUCUGUGCAGUGGAGGCACAGUGACACAAAGGGCACCCCAGCCUGUGCAAAAACUGUAGGCUGGAAUUGUCAAAGGUGCCUAAGGGGAGUAGGCACCCAAACCCCAUUGAAAUCCAAUGAGAGUUGUGCACCUAACUCCUUGGGGUCCUUUGAAAAUCCCAGCAGA